AGUCAAGUUACAAAGGGCUUACGGUGGAUACCUAGGCACACAGAG
rnacentral:rRNA from 5 species